rnacentral:sRNA from 1 species
AGCUUCCAAACCCAGGGCUUGCGCUUGCCUUUGCCUCUUCCACGUAAGUACCUUUCAAAGGUCUGCCUUUUAUGCAGAGGAAUGAGUUUGUGCAGGAACUAGACCAAAAUGCUAUCGUUACCGUAUUUGCUCUUCUGUUGGAAAACAGUAGAGGUGAAAGGCAGAGUAGGAAUGAAAAGCUUACCCCCAAGCAGAAGCUAGGAAAUGCUGCUGGGUGUAAGACAUCAGUCCCUUACAAACAAAACUGCGUGGGGUCGAGGGGAAUUUGGAGGAAGGGGAGUCGGUGUUGGUCUUUUGGCCAGCAGGUAAGAUGUUUUUCUACUCGCUUCUAUUUUGGAAAGAUAACUUUGAAACCAGCAUUUAUCAGAUGCCUAUGAUUUUCUCAUUUAGAAGCAGAUUAUUGUUAUUCUACAUCCCAGACUUUUAUCUAAAAUCAGACAUAGUAUCAUUUUAAAAUAUGUUUUAUGUUUGACAAGGGGAAAUGAGUGAGGUGUCUCUGGAUUGAUAAGUGGCUUGAUUUUGAAUUUGCAGUUUAUUGUUACUUCUGGUUCUCAUAAUACUUAUUUAUAACAACAAAAACAGUGAUUUUUUUUUUUGAGAUGAAAAGGAAUCCCAGGCUCUGGGGUUUAGAGAAAAUACAGGUUUGUGAUAUGUGAGUGGCAUCCAAGUAUUCAGGGUAAACUGUUAAGUAAAGUGGAAUAAGAAUCAUUGAAUAAAAAGGUACAAUCUAUCACAUAGUUCAGAUGAGAAGCUCUUAAACAGAAGAGGAAUGCAAACAGUUCCCAUGAAGUGGCACUGCCACUGGACAGGGCCCUGUAGUGUGUUUAGUUAAGUAGGGUUAAGUAUAACCAGGGCAGGCGGAGAACAAAACAAAGGUGCUGGGGAGGUGGGAAGGGAGGAGAAGGGAGGAGCAGAUAGUAAAGGAUUUAUAAUUAAACAACAGAUUCAUAAAAAGCAGAUAGGAAUAGAGCAGGGCAUUAAUUCCAUAGUCUAUCCCUUUGUAUCAAGAAUCUGGUGAAAGCCAAGGACCUUUCUCAGGUCCCCGCAUCCUGAGCCUCCCCUUCCACCCCACACCCCAACCCACACCUUGACCCUCACUUUCUGGACUCCUAGAAGUCCACGGACCUAAAUGAAGCUCAUGUGCUUAUUAUUAUUUUUUUUUAACUGGGCUGAAGCUGCCAACUGAAGAACCUCUCCAGAAGUGGUGGCGAGUUAAAAACCUUCAACGUGGCAGGCACUUCUUAGCCACCAAACUGAAGCUUGGUUUUAAGUUCAUGAAGGUCUUAUGUCAAUCAAGCAAAUAAUGAUUAAGGGAUAUAUCUGAGAACAGAUAAGUUGAAGGCCAAGAGGAAGAGAAAAGAAAAAGUGGAUCUUGUUCUCAAAGAGCUUGAUAUCUGAAGUCCAGGGAGAUAAUUAGAAGUUAUGUCCAUGCACAAAAUAGGAUGUGUUGAGUGAUUACAUUUGUAUAAAAUGAUAGAAAAUGCAAACUAAUCUAUAGCAAAAAGAAAGUGGCUGGGUGUGGUGGCCCACGCCUAUAAUCCCAGCACUUUGGGAGGUCGAGGCGAGCAGAUCACUUGAGGUCAGGAGUUUGAGACCAGCCUGGCCAACAUGGUGAAACCCCGUCUCUACUAAAAAUACAAAAAUUAGGCGGGCAUGGUGGGCACCUGUAAUCCCAGCUACUCGGGAAGCUGAGACAGGAUAAUUGCUUGAACCUGGGAGGCGGAGGUUGCAGUGAGCUGAGAUUGUACCGCUGUACUCCAGCCUGGGCGACAGAGCAAGACUCUGUCUCAAGAAAAAAAAAAAAAAAAAAGGAAAGAAAGAAGAUCCAUGGUUACUUGGGAAGGUAGGGGCAGGAGAAAAAAUGUUUGGGGGGAUUCCCAAGGGACACAGGAAACUUUUGAGGGUGAUGGAUAUGUUCAUUAUUGUGACUGUGAACAUUUCUUAUAUGGGAAGAUUUUAUCAAAUUGUGUACUUUAAACAUUCAGUAUUAUAGCUGAUUAUGCCCAACAAACAAUACUUUAACAACAUUAUUUUUAUUUUUAUUUUUUUGAGAUAGGAUCUCACUCUGUCACCCAGGCUGGAGUGCAGUAGCGUGAUCUCAGCUCACUGCAGCCUCUGCCUCCCAGGCUCAAGCAAUCCUCCCACCUCAGCCUCCCGAGUAGCUGGGACCACAGACUUGUGCUACCACACCCAGCUGUAGAGAUGGGGUUUCGCCAUGUUGCCCAGGCUGGUCCCAAACUCCUGAGCUCAAGCAAUCUUCCUGCCUCGGCCUCCCAAAGUGCUGGGAUUACAGGUGUGAGCCACUGCGCCUAACCAACAAUAUAAUUUUUAAAUAAGUAAAAGCAUUUCUAAAAAUCAGCCUAUGUAACAAACUGAACAUAAAAGAUGAGUAUUUAUGGAGAAAAAAAUAAAUUCAGUAAAGCACAGAGACCAGACAGUAAGGACCAUAGACUUUUAUAGAACUAGGAGGGUCCUUGGAGAUAAUCUAACCUAGUGGUUGUGGGGCCUGGAGAACUUAAAAAAAAAAAAAA